GACGAACGCUGGCGGCGUGCUUAACACAUGCAAGUCGAACGGUGAAGCUCCAGCUUGCUGGAGUGGAUCAGUGGCGAACGGGUGAGUAACACGUGAGCAACCUGCCCCUGACUCUGGAAUAAGCGCUGGAAACGGCGUCUAAUACUGGAUACGAGAAGGGUCCGCAUGGGCACUUUCUGGAAAGUUGUUCGGUUGGGGAUGGGCUCGCGGCCUAUCAGCUUGUUGGUGAGGUAAUGGCUCACCAAGGCGACGACGGGUAGCCGGCCUGAGAGGGCGACCGGCCACACUGGGACUGAGACACGGCCCAGACUCCUACGGGAGGCAGCAGUGGGGAAUAUUGCACAAUGGGCGAAAGCCUGAUGCAGCGACGCCGCGUGAGGGAUGACGGCCUUCGGGUUGUAAACCUCUUUCAGCAGGGAAGAAGCGAAAGUGACGGUACCUGCAGAAGAAGCACCGGCUAACUACGUG
rnacentral:rRNA from 1 species